GGAUUAGAUACCCUGGUAGUCCACGCAGUAAACGAUGAUUACUAGGAGUUUGCGAUAUACCGUCAAGCUUCCACAGCGAAAGCGUUAAGUAAUCCACCUGGGGAGUACGCCGGCAACGGUGAAACUCAAAGGAAUUGACGGGGGCCCGCACAAGCGGAGGAACAUGUGGUUUAAUUCGAUGAUACGCGAGGAACCUUACCCGGGAUUGAAAUGUAGACGACGGAUGGUGAAAGCCGUCUUCCCUUCGGGGCGUCUAUGUAGGUGCUGCAUGGUUGUCGUCAGCUCGUGCCGUGAGGUGUCGGCUUAAGUGCCAUAACGAGCGCAACCCACAUCGGUA
rnacentral:rRNA from 1 species